rnacentral:rRNA from 1 species
UACGGAGGGGACUAGCGUUGUUCGGAAUUACUGGGCGUAAAGCGCACGUAGGCGGAUUUGUAAGUCAGGGGUGAAAUCCCGGGGCUCAACCUCGGAACUGCCUUUGAUACUGCAAAUCUCGAGUCCGGAAGAGGUGAGUGGAAUUCCUAGUGUAGAGGUGAAAUUCGUAGAUAUCGAGAAGAACACCGGUGGCGAAGGCGGCCAUCUGGACGGUGACUGACGCUGAGACGCGAAAGCGUGGGGAGCAAACAGG